AAGUCGUAACAAGGUCUCCGUUGGUGAACCAGCGGAGGGAUCAUUACUGAGUACUACACUCUCUACCCUUUGUGAACUAUUAUACCUGUUGCUUCGCGGCGCCCGCAAGGGUGCCCGCCGGUCUCAUCAGAAUCUCUGUUUUCGAACCCGACGAUACUUCUGAGUGUUCUUAGCGAACUGUCAAAACUUUUAACAACGGAUCUCUUGGCUCCAGCAUCGAUGAAGAACGCAGCGAAACGCGAUAUGUAAUGUGAAUUGCAGAAUUCAGUGAAUCAUCGAAUCUUUGAACGCACAUGGCGCCUUCCAGUAUCCUGGGGGCAUGCCUGUCCGAGCGUCGCUUCAACCCUCGAGCUCCUGUGGCCCGGCGUUGGGGAUCUGCCACGGCAGGCCCCUAAAGCCAGUGGCGGACCCGAAGGGCCCUCUCCUUUGCGCAGUAGCAUUCGCCUCGCAUCGGGAGUCCUCGGCGUCCUGCCUCUAAACCCCCCACAAGCCCGCUUCGGCGGCACCAAGGUUGACCUCGGAUCAGGUAGGAAUACCCGCUGAACUUAA
rnacentral:rRNA from 1 species